UACAGAGGGGGCAAGCGUUGUUCGGAAUUACUGGGCGUAAAGCGCACGUAGGCGGACUCUUAAGUCGGUGGUGAAAUCCUGGAGCUCAACUCCAGAACUGCCUUCGAUACUGGGAGUCUCGAGUCCGGGAGAGGUGAGUGGAACUGCGAGUGUAGAGGUGAAAUUCGUAGAUAUUCGCAAGAACACCAGUGGCGAAGGCGGCUCACUGGCCCGGUACUGACGCUGAGGUGCGAAAGCGUGGGGAGCAAACAGG
rnacentral:rRNA from 1 species